ACGCUCGACACCUACGGGGGCAGCAGUGGGGAAUAUUGCACAAUGGGGGAAACCCUGAUGCAGCAACGCCGCGUGAAGGAAGACGGUUUUCGGAUUGUAAACUUCUGUUCUUAGUGAAGAUAGUGACGGUAGCUAAGGAGCAAGCCACGGCUAACUACGUGCCAGCACGCCGACGGUAAUCUGAGGCGGGCGUGGACGAAGGC
rnacentral:rRNA from 1 species